rnacentral:rRNA from 1 species
UACGAAGGGGGCUAGCGUUGCUCGGAAUUACUGGGCGUAAAGGGCGCGUAGGCGGACAGUUUAGUCGGGGGUGAAAGCCCGGGGCUCAACCCCGGAACUGCCUUCGAUACUGGCUGUCUUGAGUACGGGAGAGGUGUGUGGAACUCCGAGUGUAGAGGUGAAAUUCGUAGAUAUUGGGAAGAACACCGGUGGCGAAGGCGGCGACCUGGUCCUUGACUGACGCUGAGGCGCGAAAGCGUGGGGAGCAAACAGG